AAGAACAGACUAAAUACAUCUAAUCUUUAGGAGUUGGUUUGUUGAUGAAGACUUGAGAUAAAAAGUGUGUGUCUCUCAAAAUCUCAUGAGUUGAUUACUUAUUGUAGGCCACUAAUAUAACCACAUAAAAUGCUUUCGUCAAAAUCCAAUACAGGAAGAUAAACUAUAGUACUGCUUAUACAAUGACUUGGAAACAAUUUUGCAGUGAGUUGUCAGAGUUUGUAGGAGCUACCUGCUCAUGUGCAGAUGAGGGACGUUGUCUUAGAUCUGAUAAAGGACCAUAAAAUAAUCCUGAUAUAUUGAAGGCAAAUAUUGAUUUUUAGAAUGACUUGUUCUAAAGGGACAUAUAUUUGGUCACUCUGUGCAGAUUUUGGGAAGACUUUUGGAGGUCAUGGAUUAGAAUACAGAAGCAGCUUAUCUUAGAGAGAACCAUGAACAAUCAAGGAGUUUGGAUCAUGUUAGAAUUUAUUUACAAAACAUUUGGAGUUUUAAAUUUGGAUGACCGUAAUAUAUGCUUGUUGCAAUAGAUACUAUUUGAUACUACCAUUGAUGCUUGAAUGUUUGAUAGGAUGUGUUAUGAUUUUCAGUUUGAUCAAAGUUCAUUUGGAUGAUUAUAAAUUAGACUGUAUGAUAAAACUUUAUUAUAGUGUUAAACGGUUGCAUUUGUAACUUUGUUAUAAUAUUAAACUGUGCAAUUUGUUA